GGGAUACCCAUGUCAAUUUCAACAUUUUCAGAAGUUUCAGCCACAAGAGGAGAAAGAACUUAGUUCCGUUGAGUUUUUUCAAUAGUUUCUUUAAUCUUGGCUAACUUAGAUUCCAAGUUAAAGUUCUCCCGGCUAGCUUCAACAAGGGUAUCAUGGCGAGAAUUUAAGAACAUCCAACUCACUUCAACAGCAGACUUAUCCUCAAGGAUUUCAUAAUCUCUUUCCCAGUCAGCAAUUUCAUUCUUUAUCUUUUCAUUUCAGCCAAGGCAGAUGUAUAAGAAACUUGAAAAGAUGCAUGAGAACUUUCUAAGGCACAAACCUCAUCAAAAGAAGCUCGCAGGUCUUCUUGGUCUUGUGUUAAAUUCUGCACGAGCUCACCAACAUAACCUUCUUUCUCACCCAAGAGAGCCUUCAAUUCUCUAAUCUCUUCACUUAUCUUGGACAACUGCUCGGAAAAAAGAAGUUUCAAGACGAGCCUUUUCUUUCUCUGCUUGACUUGAGGAAGUCUUUGCAACUGCCAAUUCCGUAGUCAAGGCCUGUACCUGCUGCUCCAAGGCACUCUUACUUUCUUCUAAGUAAUCCACAUCAAUCCGAAGACUUUUAUACUAUUCCUACCAAUUGUACGCCUCUAGUUGAGAAUCACGAACUAAUUGCUCUGAGAGGCUAAUCCUUCUCAUCAUCUCUAUGCCAAUGAGAUUGGCAUAAAAAAAUAGAAAAAGGAAAGGAAAUGAG
rnacentral:lncRNA from 1 species